ensembl:lncRNA novel transcript
UGCUUCUCCUGUUCCAUAGGCACAAAGAUACAAGUGCCUGGUCGCUCUAGUCCUGCACUGUGAAAAAUCUCAACCCAGUUUUGCUUAGACCAGACAAAGGUGGUAGCUGGCUGAGAAUUAGCUGUAGAGCAGGCUGUGUGACCGAGCCGUCUGUGUGCAGCCAUGUUCAGAAGCCCAGGGUUUUCCAGCUAUUUGGGAGCUUUCAAAUUCUCUGAGAAACAAGGCUUCUGCCUGUAACUAUUGAACAGCCAAAGGCACUUCCUUAGGGGAAGGAGUUUCUAUUUCAACAAUAAAAACUUAAGCUUCAUUGGAUUCCCAUGUCAAAGGAAAGUUUCAAGAUAAAGUAGCCUUGUCUCAAGGACUGUUAAAUUUUGAAGAUUUGUCGUAGCUUUUAAAAUUAUUCUCUUGAAUAUCUAACUCUUAAGUUUCAAUGUUUGGCAAUAUGUUUUCUCCCUAGAAUUUGAUUUAUUAAAAUGUAUGAAGCAA